rnacentral:piRNA from 1 species
UGCUAAACACAAAGGCUUGCAAUGGG